GUAAAAACUAUGAAGGGGAAAAUUAAAGAUAUUUUCUAUAGAGAGUCAGUGGAUGGUGCAAACUGACAGAAGAUCUUUAUUUCCGCCCCGGAGUUGUUGGCGAUGAGCCAAACCGGUUUUAACCGUUAGAUUUAUAGAGGGUUGCAUAUUUUGGGAAACUGAAAUAGGGUGGCAACGCGGUAAUUUCCGCCCCUUGU
rnacentral:ncRNA from 1 species